rnacentral:lncRNA from 1 species
GUUUCAUUUACAGUAUGGUUGCUUCUACUGGAACGUUAGGGACCGGGUAGGAGACAAGAUCCCAAGAGGUGAUGACAGAGACUAAGGAAAAGGAAAAGGGGAUCUAAAUACAAGAAAGUAGAUGACCUGCAUGAUGAAUAUUUGGGCAUUCACACAAGCCUGCCUCUGUCAAACAAGAAAUUAUCUUUGUACUUGGAAGAAAGAGAAUCAAGCAUAAGGGUAUCAGGCUCACUUGUCAAGGGAAGAAACAGAGUGAUUUCAGAUCCCAAACUAUAAUUUUCCCAAAGACUAACUUGAUACUAAAGUAAUUUAAAUUUAGUUAAUUAAAUUUCACAGGAAAAGAAGCAAUAGAUGUGUUCUACGUGCAUGCAUGCACACAAGUACUGAUGUCCAAGACAGCUUCUGAAGUAAUGAGAGAAGUGUUGAUUCUAGAAUCAAGGGACCUGAAACUGGUAGCACUAGUAUGGAUAAAGAAGAAUGUGCUCAUCUAAAAGUGUUUGCAGAGAGGGAUUUGACAACAAUGAAUCUUACAGAUAGGAUUUAUACAACAGAAGACUAAAAUGCUUGGGGGUGAUGUUAAGAUAUUGGUUAGUUGACAAAUGAAUCAUCAGCCGUCGGCUAAUAAAAGUGAAGACAAUGGUAUUGACAGUUUAG